GUAUCUCAAAUGGUUUUAUUUUGUGCGGACCUCAAUCCUGAAAUAACAAUAUGCUGAAGCCAGCCCUUUCCCACCCUGAGUGCUGCUGGCAGGCACCUAGGAGCCUGGGAAACGUGAUCCCACCAUCCCAGAUUCUUGGGCUUUGGAACUGGGACGGUUCGGUUGAAGGUUGAAGUGAGUGGGGAGAUUGCUAUUCGGGGGCUUUAAAAAGGAUCCCGUGGCCAGGGGCAGGGCCAAGGCCCAGCAUUUCCCAGGGAUUGGAAUUUAGAGCGGAGCACAUUGAUCAAAGGCUGUUUCAUCCCACAUGGGCACGAAACAUACCACAUUUUACGGAGGAUGUAUCUCGAGAGAAGAGGGAGGUGGAGGAGAAGCAUAAAUGAAAAACACCUUUCUCCUCCUCUGUAAGAUGCACAGGAAGUUUCUGAUCCCCUGAUGUUUGGGAGUGAGCGGAUUCCGUGCAGAGGCAUCCAGGUAUUUCCAGAGAUCCUGUGACAAGCAAGGUCUGCCCUCGUUCGAGCCAACUCGUCUGUAAUCUCUUCCUAACAGCAGGCACGCGGGAGAGAAAGUAACGUUCAAGAAGAAAGCCCCGUCGGCAAGUUUGGCUUCUGAGCGUGUAAAUUAUGAAUCACCACGGCGAAAGCUGAUAGUGUGGCUGUUUGGGACCAAUUAGAACUGGAUUUUGCCUCAGGAUUGCUCCCCAGGGCGGACAAAUGUAGCCAAUUCAUCUCCAGCGACUUUUUUGCCCACGUACGUAUCCACGCCAGCGCUUCAGAAGCAGUUUAAAAUCCCCAGCCUUGGUUUUGCUUGAUUUUGUUGUCGUUGUUAUUGAUAAAUAUUGGGUCAUACACAA